CAGAGGGAAAAGAGACAUAAUUUAGCUGUCUUGCUAGCAUGAUUCUAUUUUUAAAGGAGGGGAGGGGGAGAGUCUGGAGCUCUAACUGUUUUUAGUUGCAUAUGGAAAUAUCUAAAAAAUAUUUAGCAUUUUUACUAAGUGCGUUGAGGCCUCUCCGGUGUCUUCCUGGCUGUGGCUGCUUCGUCAUUCUCUUUGACUAGCCAGCCAUCUACCUUGCUCAGGCCUGGAAUAAAAGAAGAAAAACUAAAAAAGAAAAAAUGAAAAACAGAAAGAAAAAGGAGAAGAAAAAGUUGAUAAAGGGUCAUCUUCCCAUCUGCCUCCCCUCCCUUUCCUUUCAUUUUGGAGGCAGCACAGAAAAGCCCCACUUCCAGUCUGAUGAGGAAAGCGACCAUCGAUCAGAUACAGAACCAGGGGCUGUCUGCGAAGAUGGAGGGGAACUAUGCUUCGGAUUCCUCUGAAAUAUUGGCCAAAGGCUUCAAAGAAUCCGCAGCGGGAGGUGCGAGGGGAACGUCUCUCCCCAGCCCGCACCCAGCCCUUCCCACUUCGCGUCUACCAAAUGACAGCCUGGUGCUCGCUCUUGGUGAUUUGGCCUUGACUUCAGCCAAGCAGCUGAUGCAGACGAAGGCUCCGUUUGCAGGACUGGCAAAGUGCACGCUAAAGAAAGAAGGAAGAAAUUUUUCAAAAAAGCAGCUCUGGGGUGGUUUCUUACUCCCACCCCCGACCUUUAAAAAAAAAUUUUUUUUAAAGUGAAUAUUUUCCAAAUUUGAUCAGUUCCAGCCCCUCCCUCCACUCCCACCCAACUGCCCUUUUUUCUCUCGUCAAAGCAUAAGCUACAGAGUUACAGUCUCGAGAUUUGGUGUAUCGCUUCCUGCCCCCGCCUCCCCUCCCCGCCCCCGUUCUCCGUCCUCUAUUGAAACACCUCGCCCAGCCUAGCGCACUGAGAGCUCACAUUUCCCCCCCUUGCUCGGGAUGGUGCCACGGGAGGCUGUGAGGGCCCCGCGCCGCUUCGAAUGGCUGGUCCUUUAGUCCCCCUCCUCAGGAAUGUCUCCCCAGUACAAAGACAAAGACUGCAGAGACUGCUAUAUUGAUGGACCCUCAAGCCAACUAUGAAGUUGAAACAAAGAAAGUGAUCACCUGAAGACACCUCCUCUGCUAAGCAGCACCCCCAAAUUGUGCAGCUUCAGCCACUAGGACUCUCAGAACAAGAGGCAAUCUUUUCAAGAAACAGAAAAACUCAAUAAUGACAUCUAGAUUUUCAUGACCCAAGAACCUUCCCUUCCUCAUGUGUAUUCCUCUGUUUGUACUUAAAUUCAUGUGACAUUCAUUUUUUUCUAAUAUGGAUAUGCUUAUUAAUGCACUUGUUUUAAAAUCCCAAAUUGCACACAUAUGUUAAUAUUUUAAGAAACAAAAUUAAUCCUACAAGGAGAAUGAUUUUUCAUCACACAUAGGGUUGGAUCUUAAGAGUGGCUUACAGAACAAAAAGAACUUUUAAAAUAAAGUAGUCAGAGGCUAUUCAAAGGGUAAAAUAAUCAUACUAUCACAUUGUUCCACUUGACACUAACCAAUCAACUAUUUUUUUUUAAUCAAGAAAGGUAGAUUCUAUGAGAUAAAAUCACUGCUUCUAAAGAGCUUAAAUCUGAUUAUAAAAAAGUUAUAGAAACUUUUGAAAAGAUAAGUAAUAGAUAGGGUUGGUAGAGGUAAAGUCAAAAACAAAACCAAGCAAAAGAUGAGUUCAGGGGAGUUUGUCAUAAAGUUGGCAAAACUGGCUUAUUUAGGGAAGAAAGUUCUAAAAGAGGAAAGUAUGUGAUGAACCUUGAAUGAUAUCAAAGAUUUAGAUAAAUGGAAAGGAAGGAGAAAAUGGAGUUCUUUAGGUGGAUGUAAUUGGAGGAGAAAAUGAACACUCACAUCUUGUCGACUUAACCCCAAACAUUCAGCAGCUCUCUAUAGCCAAUAAAGGGUUUGCACACUCACCUCCUGUCUCUCACCCCAGGUAUUACCUAGAAUUAUUAUAUUUCCCUUCUAUUAAAGUAAGUGAGGGUGAUUGGUGACAGCAUGGAGAACUAUGAUUUUUCCAUUAACCUAAUAAUAAUUGGCAUUUAUUGAGUUCUGUUAAGCAUUUCACAUAUUAACUCACUGAAGCCUUAUGACAACUGUGCAAAAUAGGUAUUAUUAUUCCCAUUUUACAGGCAAGAAAACUGAGGUUUAAGUAACUUGCCAAAGCACCAUAUUCAGGGCUUACAUUCAGGAUUGCAAUUGCAAAGCUCAUGAUCUAAAGUGCUAGGUUGCAAUAUUGUAAUCAGUGUCACAAUUAUUAUUCCUUUUUGUAUACCUUGAUAUUUUUCCAUGGUAAGCAAAUAGCUAUUUCAUUUGACAGUCACCUCAAACUUUUCAGCCUUCUAGAGUGAGAGAAUGUAUUUUCAUGAUAGAAAUUGAAAAAAAAAAUGGGGGAAUGAAUUUCAUCAGCAUUUCAGACUUUUUUUUGCAAGACUUUGAUGAGAUUGUUUACUUUUAUCUACAUGAAAUCCCAAAUCCUUGAGAAUAAAAAAGGGAGAGGUUUAAGUCACUUGUUGCAAUGCCCUUAGAAAUAGAGGAGAUAAAUCUAAAGCCCAUAAAUUAGGAGUGACUUACAGAAGAUUGCACUUUGGGGUGUGGCUUAGUAAGGACCAGAAACCAGGCCCUCCAUUUCACUGUCAGUAGCUCUUGCAUUCGUCCGCCCUUGAUAAAUUCAGUGUGCAGUGUGCACUUGAAUUUUAUCAUUGGAAACAGUCUAUCUAGGUAGUAACCAGAUAGUGCCUGGUAGACUGUUUCUGUUCUAUACUUCACUUUGGUUUCCUACCUCAAUGUAAAAAAUAGCUAGCAAUGAAGUCUAGAAGUUGUUAAUGGUUCAUCCCCCCACCACCAAAGAAUGUCCAAAGUCUUAUUUGUAUAAUGUCUUCAAUGGUAUUUUUAAGUUAUUUUGAAUUCUUAGUUCAUAUACAUAAAUCAUACCUAACGAGCAUCUUCUGGACCAACUUUAUGCACAGUAUAUGUUUGUAAGUGCUUCUGCAUGAAUGUUUAUACAUGACUGUUUCCAUAGUACUUAACAUUUUAAAAAAUAUUCAAUCAUUUCCUAUUCUAAUUUUCAUGUAUCCAUGUAACUGACUCAAAAAUACUUCAGCCAUAAAAAGCUAGAACUGAGCAAAUCUCAUUCUUGUUUUCCAUCCCUUUUGCAUGUGGCUGGCAUUUAGUAAUGAUUAAUAAACGUGGUCAGCUGAAUAACAGAGGUUCAAGACACAAUUCUGUCUCAAAGGAGUCAGGUAAGCUGGAUCCACUUAUGGAUAAACAUCUAAAUGUGUGGAAGUAUCUGAUAUUUGACUAUGGUAAAUUUCCACUUAGCUAGCUCACAUUGUCAGGCUUAGAUCUCCUCAUGGCUCUGGCCAUCCUGUUUUCAACAUGAUAACUGUUGGCCACAUCUCACACAGUUCUCAUGAAGUGAGUUCAUAAAUAAACAGAGUUUUUUUUUUUUUUUUUUUUUUUUUAAAGAGCAGCCAAGCACAAAGUGUAACUUUGUUGACAUUUUAUGUGACUUUGUCAUGUGUUUCUAACCCCCAAUAAAAGCAAUGUUGCAUCAACUGUGAA